rnacentral:rRNA from 1 species
GACGAACGCUGGCGGCGUGCCUAAUACAUGCAAGUCGAACGCAGUUGCGAACGGGUGAGUAACGCGUAGGUAACUGCCUCAUAGCGGGGGAUAACUAUUGGAAACGAUAGCUAAUACCGCAUACUGUGAGAUGGACCUGCGUUGUAUUGGCUAGUUGGUGAGGUAAAGGCGCACCAAGGCGACGAUACAUAGCCGGGCUGAGAGGGUGAACGGCCAAACUGGGACUGGGACACGGGCCAGACUCCUGCGGGAGGCAAGAGGAGGGGAUCAUCGGCAAUUGACGGAAAGCUGAACGAGGAACGCCGCGUGGGUGAAGAAGGGUUUCGGAUCGUAAAGCUCUGUUGAUAGAGAAGCGGUAACUAACGAGAAAGGGACGGCUAACUACGUGCCAGCAGCCGCGGUAAUUC